UCCCUCAUCCCUCAUUCUCGGAAUCCAACGGGACGCUCUGUACACAGCAGACUGUCCCGAUGGGAGGAGGAUUUUUAAGGGUGAGGGGGUGAGUCUCUGCGGUCGUCACGAAGCUAACGCGAUAGCACUGUGCUGCGAGACAAUCCACCAAAUUCUUUUCUCUCCCUCUCUCUCUCUCUCUCGCCCGCUCACUCGCUCGCUCAGUCGUGACCCUUGUUCUGGACAGAACGACAUCGGUAUCUGACGUGCGUCUUGUCGUGUACUUUUGAGUACUCGAUUACUGGGCCUCGUUAACCACGGAAGAUGAGACGCUAACGUCCGCAGUAAGACAGGCGACUGACGCUGCUGCUGUUUAACUACCGUGCUGCGUACACACACACACACACACACACACACGGUUGUUCUGUCCGUUUGUGUUUUCCUGCCUUAUCCAAUCAAGGUCGCCCCCGCUUUCCCCCCCUAGUGGACAAAAGCUGAAGUAACGUCAGCCAGUCAGUGUUUCUGUUUGUAUUUAAAUCCUGUAUUUUAUUAUUUUCUUCGUCCAACUGCCUCUAGUCCAUUAAUAUUAUUAACAAUAAUGACCGGGGCGGUCAGCAUUUCCUGAGUUUAGUAAGUUAUGUACAGUAUAAUUUAUUUUUCUCCUCUUUACUGGGUUUCUACGACCACACGAAUCUCGUUGUUUCCUUUUUAGCUGUAGGUGUUUUUUAGAUCUAAACAAAAAAAAAAAAAGCUGUCGUUUUUACCUUUUUUCUCUGUUUCACCUCGUUGGUCGACCUCCGUCUCCAACGCGUUUAUUCUUCGGUGUCAAUCCUCUGAGCGGAGUCAGGACAACGAGCUGGACACACAGUCUCGACGCCAGCCCUCCUCCGAGCUGAAGACCCCCCCCCGACCCCCCCGGCGUGUCGGCAGCCAUUUUUGAAGAAGCACUCAGACUCUGUGCAGUCAUAGAAAAAAAAAGAAAAAGAAAAAACAUGAAGAACAUUUUUUUUAUAUAUAUAUUAAAUGUUAUUAUAAUUUUAUUUGUAAUGGUUAUUAUAAUGUGAACCUUUCUCUGUUUGAUUUGUAUUUUUUUCUUCUUUUUUGGAAUCAGUUUAAUCAUUUUGGAAACUGUAUUCCGUGAACAAAGUCCCUGUUUACUUGUUUGGCCGCCUCACUGAGACACAGUGGAACAUCAUUGGAACGGACACACACACACACACACACACACACACAAUCCUAAAACAAAGAGAUUAGUCUGACAACCACACAAAUCCAAUGCUGUUUUUUUUGUGGAUUUUGCAUUUGAAACAAACACUUUUUUUGUGGUAAAAGUUUUUUUUUUUCUUCUUCUUCAUUCAGAGUAAAACAGUGUUUUCCCUCCUCCACCGAUGGCGUUCCACUGUGCGUGUGUACGUGUGUGUAUGUGUCCGUAUGUUGGUGGUUGUGUGUGUGUGUGUGUGUGUGUGUGUGUGUGUGUGUGUGUGUUUUCACAUCACGAUCAUUCUGACUAUUGACGUUUCGCUGCGCCUCACGCGAUGAGCCCGUGGGUCUUUAUUUUUGCUGUACAGUCGGGCCCUGCUGUCACGCCAUGAUUCAACC